rnacentral:rRNA from 1 species
CCUACGGGAGGCAGCAGUAAGGAAUAUUGGUCAAUGGGCGCAAGCCUGAACCAGCCAUGCCGCGUGCAGGAAGACGGCCCUAUGGGUUGUAAACUGCUUUUGAACAAGAGAAAACCUCGGUACGUGUACCGAGCUGAUAGUAUUGUUAGAAUAAGCAUCGGCUAACUUCGUGCCAGCAGCCGCGGUAAGACGAAGGAUGCAAGCGUUAUCCGGAUUCAUUGGGUUUAAAGGGUGCGUAGGCGGCCUGAUAAGUCAGUGGUGAAAUCCCUCAGCUUAACUGAGAAACUGCCAUUGAUACUGUCGGGCUUGAGUACAGAUGAUGUGGGCGGAAUAUGACAUGUAGUGGUGAAAUACUUAGAUAUGUCAUAGAACACCGAUUGCGAAGGCAGCUCACAAAACUGUAACUGACGCUGAGGCACGAAAGUGCGGGGAUCAAACAGGAUUAGAUACCCUGGUAGUCCGCACCGUAAACGAUGAUUACUCGUUGUUGGCAAUAUGACCGUCAGCGACCAAGCGAAAGCGAUAAGUAAUCCACCUUGGGGAGUUACGCCGGCAACGGUUGAAACUUAAAGGGAAUUGACCGGNGNGAGAGNGCGAGGACGACGACGAGGAGGAGG